rnacentral:rRNA from 1 species
AUUGAACGCUGGCGGCAGGCCUAACACAUGCAAGUCGAACGAGUGGCGGACGGGUGAGUAAUGUCUGGGAAACUGCCUGGUGGAGGGGGAUAACUACUGGAAACGGUAGCUAAUACCGCAUACCAUCAGAUGUGCCCAGAUGGGGUUAGCUAGUUGGUGGGGUAACGGCUCACCAAGGCGACGAUCCCUAGCUGGUCUGAGAGGAUGACCAGCCACACUGGAACUGAGACACGGUCCAGACGCCUACGAGACGCAGCAGUGGGGAAUAUUGGACAAUGGGGGCGAGCCUGAUGCAGCCAUGCCGAGUGUAUGAAGAAGGCCUUCGGGUUGUAAAGUACUUUCAGCGGGGAGGCGGUACCCGCAGAAGAAGCACCGGCUAACUCCGUGCCAGCAGCCGCGGUAAUUC